AGCGAACGCUGGCGGCAGGCCUAACACAUGCAAGUCGAACGAACCUUUCGGGGUUAGUGGCGGACGGGUGGGUAACCCGUGGGAACGUGCCUUUAAGUUCGGAAUAACUCAGGGAAACUUGUGCUAAUACCGAAUGUGCCCUUCGGGGGGAAGUUUUAUCGCCUUUAGAGCGGCCCGCGUCUGAUUAGCUAGUUGGUUGAGGUAAUGGCUCACAAAGGCGACUGGCAGAAGCUGGUCUGAGAGGAUGAUCAGCAACCUUGGGACUGAGAGCAGGCCAAACUCCUACGGGAGGCAGCAGUGGGGAAUCUUGCGCAAUGGGCGAAAGCCUGACGCAGCCAUGCCGCGUGAAUGAUGAAGGUCUUAGGAUUGUAAAAUUCUUUAACCGGGGACGAUAAUGACGGUACCCGGAGAAGAAGCCCCGGCUAACUUCGUG
rnacentral:rRNA from 1 species